GUUGAAACUAGGCGUUUAGUAAGGAACUGGAUUUCACUCUCAGUUCUGUCACAUGGCCAAGUGGUUUAACCUUUCAGAAGCUCAAUUCCCUCAUGUUUAAAAUGGGAAAGCUGUAAAAUUCAGCUGUAUUUUAUAGCUUAGUCUGCAAUUAAUGUCUUCUUUGUUUUGUAGUGAUGAACAAAAAAAGGAAAGAAGAAAAGAAGGGAACACAGAUAGCAAGCAGCAAGUGAAUGGAAUACUGCACAUCUACCUAGCCAGCAAGGGGCGCUCUCAGGAGCCUAUACCAGGACCCCUGAGUCCCAGCCUGCAGUGUCACAUACUGCCCCACUCCGCUGCCAACGUUACUGCUGCAGUAAUCCUUUACCCUCUUCCUCCUGUCUCUGUUAUCCACUCACCUUACUUCUCUUCAUUCAAGUUCAUAAGCCUGCAUUUUGGGUAAGAAAAUCUAAUGCUUUUGAGAUGUCUGCUCAGCUUGAUAUUGAAUGACUUAAAUGCACAAUGUCCUUUCCCCAGCCCAGGAGUGGACUCAGGCUCCUCGUUCCUCGUUUUCAAUAGAACUCCUCAUUCCUUCCAGGAAGUGUAAGGUCUGGGAGUUAGGGAAAAGGGAUGCUUAAAGACACCCAAUACUAACUGGUCUCAUGGCCAAAAAGAGAUACAGUUUCACUCCCUGCCUCUGCAAAAUGACUUUGUGUAAGAAAAUGACAAAUAGCAGCCCUUUGUAUUGUAGCAUAAAAAGACGCAAGACAUUUACAUCAAAAUGUUAGUAACUUAGCUUGUUUCAAUAAAUGUUAAGUAGAAGUAUAUUUAUUCA
rnacentral:lncRNA from 1 species